UGCAGUCGAGCGGUAGCACAGGGGAGCUUGCUCCCUGGGUGACGAGCGGCGGACGGGUGAGUAAUGUCUGGGAAACUGCCUGAUGGAGGGGGAUAACUACUGGAAACGGUAGCUAAUACCGCAUAACGUCUCAAGACCAAAGAGGGGGACCUUCGGGCCUCUUGCCAUCAGAUGUGCCCAGAUGGGAUUAGCUAGUAGGUGGGGUAAUGGCUCACCUAGGCGACGAUCCCUAGCUGGUCUGAGAGGAUGACCAGCCACACUGGAACUGAGACACGGUCCAGACUCCUACGGGAGGCAGCAGUGGGGAAUAUUGCACAAUGGGCGCAAGCCUGAUGCAGCCAUGCCGCGUGUGUGAAGAAGGCCUUCGGGUUGUAAAGCACUUUCAGCGAGGAGGAAGGUGGUGAACUUAAUACGUUCAUCAAUUGACGUUACUCGCAGAAGAAGCACCGGCUAACUCCGUGCCAGCAGCCGCGGUAAUACGGAGGGUGCAAGCGUUAAUCGGAAUUACUGGGCGUAAAGCGCACGCAGGCGGUUUGUUAAGUCAGAUGUGAAAUCCCCGGGCUCAACCUGGGAACUGCAUUUGAGACUGGCAAGCUAGAGUCUCGUAU
rnacentral:rRNA from 1 species